GUUUUUGUGAUAUUAAAAAAAAAAAAAAAAAAAAAAAAAAAAAAAAAAAAAACUGGAGCCCAAAGCCCUUAAGUUCUCUUCUAAAAUUGAGAAAACUCGCUUACCGUAUUUGUUAUUUUGUUUUGUAGAGGCAACAGUCUGGUUCAGACAGUUGUAGUGGCAACAGUCUUCUCUGCCGUUUCCGGCUGGUUUUCUCUCACUUCCCGGAAUUCCAUUCUUUUCAAAUUUUAACAAAUAAUUUUGUGAAUCAGGUACGGCUUCAUGUUUGGAAGAGAAUCUGCUCGCAAAGAGCUUGGAAGCUUAAUCGAAGACCUUCGCCGCCAGAAUCCCAAUUCCGAUCCACCUCAUUCCUGACUUCAUUGGAUUGCAUUCUUUCGGAAAAGCUUUAGUUGCCCACGCCUCCCUCUCGCAAUCGGACCACCAGCGAGCAGGUGAUGUGUAAUUGUGAGCGAGGGAGGCAUAUACGACUACCCCAUCUCAAUCACAUUGUCAGCAAGUUAGCAACCGCGUGAUGACUAGAUAUGAAAAUGAGCUAUGUGCGUAUGACUGUUUCAUCUCCAAGAAUUUUUGGUAUAUUGGACCAGUUUUGUAUUGUAUAGGAUCAAAAGCUGAAUAUGUAUGUCUCGCUAUACUUUCCUUAUUCCCACUACAGUUCUGAAACCAAGCUAAUGAUGAGAACUUUGGAAUCAA